AUUUGGCUACCUGGUGGAUGCUAUUUGGCUACUGUGGGCUGGAUGAGAGGCAUGGGGCUCUUAUCUGCGGUCUGAUUGUGGGUCAUUCACAUUGUUGACUGAUCUGAGGUGUUGUCUGGUCUGUUGUUGUCGGCUAAAGUCAGGGUUCUUAUUGUUGUACUGACCUGAGGAGCAAUGUUAAAAAUAUUUUUUUUGCAUAGUCCCCCUCCAAACCCUUGUUGAAUCUUGGGCCAAUGUGAGUAUUGAAAUAUGUCAAUGGAAGCGCUUGUAUCAAAUGGUUCUUUAACUUAUUUCAGAUGUCUUCACCUUCUCCUUCGGUUGGCAGUCUAAGUCCUCCAUCCUAUUUAGAUGCCGGUAAUAAAUCAAUAUAUAAAAAAACAUAAUGUUCAAAAUAUAUAUAUUUAUGACCCACAAUACAUAUUUCAGGGAGACUCCCCCACCGAAUCCUCUGAUGCAGAGGAAUUUUGUUUUUCUCCUGAGCCAAUGGAGUCAGUAACUCUGAAAUGUUUUAUUUGAAUUUUUAUAGAAAUCUAUAUUAGGGUUUCAAGGGUUCCAAUUUUUGUACAAUGGAUACAGACUCCUAAAUAAAAGGUCCAUGAUCGGUCAGCACCGCCGAAGAAUGGAGACGACAAUGUAUUGGAACCACUCGUUGUUAAAUGACUUUACAGAAAAGAGUGUAUAUGGGUGAUGCCCUUAUGUUGCAGCAUGGCAGGCCCACGGCGAUGUGAGCGAGUACUAAGCUCUCUUUGUUUUUCAUACUCCACGAAGUAGGAGUCAACAAAACGACGAUGAAACAAACAGGCAAAGUGACACUCCAUCACCUGUUCGAUCAAGAAUUUAAAGGCGUGAUGGUCAUGGACAGCGUGGGCGUGGCGGUCGUCAUGGACGUGGAGUCCGUCUGAAAAGAAAUAAACACGGUGGAGGUCAAUUCGUGAUUGGUUUAUGCGUGACCUCAAUCAUGAACAAACAGCGCCAAGUGGUUCUGGGGCUUCUAGAAUAAAACCAUACCAAUAUGCACCCCAUCUUCAAUUUCUUCGACGUUGUUUUCAGCCGCGCACGACUCAUUCAAGCACACUCCCUCCUGAAGCAGAACCUCUUGAACAUGGUGUUUCAACCGAACAACUGUCUGGACCAUCUACCGAUCAAACUUCUGUACCGUCUCAGUCACUGGAUUCUGCUCUAGAGUCCCACGGUCGCCAAACGGAAACAUUCGCUCAGAUUGAUGAUACUUGACAGUUCAUUUCUUCUUCCUUUGAUGGAGUUUUAAGUAGGCCGAGACCAGUUCGGAGACAACAGUCUUUGAGGAUCUCGCACAAAUCUUUAGAGAUUUUUUAUUAAAAGUAGAGGAACAGCAAACUCUGUAUAAGCAAGAGUUAACUACCAUGAUCUGGCAGAUCGAGGUAGUUAGUCGUCCUGAACCCCUUAACCCUAAUCAGCAGUUUCUCUUAACAUUAAGUCAUUGAAUGGACAACAUGACUCCAGAGCAGAAUUGUGAUUGUAGAGUGACUCUCAGUCCUGUCCUCCAUCAGUCGUAUCCCCCAGCCACCUCCUACUCAACAUCUAUGACUUCUCCACCUGCUGACUCCUACUCUGUGGCACAUAUCUUUCUACCAUGCCCAACUUUUCACAAUCCCAAAACUUUCCCCCAUCCAACACCUUUCCCCGUCCCAAAGACAACCUACAUCCCACCAAUACCCAACGUCUCACACAUUUCCACCAUCUCAAACCCAUAGCACAUCCCACAGCUAUCAACCUGCAUCAACCUUUCGAGUUCCUCAGUCGUUAAGCCAAUCACAAUCCCAGCUACCUUCCUAUUCUCAUACUCGACUAGACACCUAGUCCUGAUCUGACUUCUACGUCGACUACAUCUAGAAUCUCCCAAAUUAAGGUGUUUCUCCCUUCAUUUUUCCAACUCCCACCACUUUUAAUACCCCUUUCUCAAACCAAUCUAUUCCACACCAAUCGGGUUUAGAAUCCUAUCCCCUUCAUACUCCACAACACCACCAGCAGGGUGAAUCUCUCAGACCUCAAGAGUCGUUCAUGCAAUCACUCCUAGACCAAAGUGCUGAAGAUGUUGGGUCCACAACUGAUGCUCCAGGAAAGGCUCCAUUGACUCAACCACCACCAUAGUGAACAUCAUUUAUAAAUUUUGGAGCAGUUAUAACUGAAUACCUCAUCAGGUCCUUUUGACGACUGCGUACAUUUUUGCACUUUUAUUGGUCAUUAAUGAUCUUAAUUUUUUUUUAUUAGUGUUCCACUUUUAAAGUUUUAGAUUACGUUUAAGGAACUUAUUGGGUUGUGUAUCCUUACCUCAUUAUUACAGGGAACCUGUCACCAACUUUAUGAAGCCCAUACUAACUGCAUAAUAAACUAGAGACAGGUGGUUUGAUUUCAGCGGUUGGUCAUGGAAGUGAUUGUCGAGAACUAACAUCAUAAUCCUAGCAGAUUGGGCCUCGUAAAGAGUUACUGUAACCUGAGAAGAGUCCUGGUUAUUCAUGAAUUCCUGCUCUCCUGCCCACCUGCUGAUGACUGACCGUCUUCUACCUAGUUUUCUCCCUUUCUUUUAAGGAGAGAACUGCCAAUCCUCUGCAGAUGGAUGAGAGCGCCAGAGAUUAGCAAUAACCAUGACUAUUCUCAAGUAGGUUCCACUCUUUUAAAGUACUGGGCUGCAAUGAUUAUGAUGCAGGUUCUUGUCAACCACAUGAGUGAUACACUGCACAAAUCCACAUUGCGAGGUCUGCACAAAGCUGAUGACUUGUUUACCAGUUGUUGUUCUAUUGCAAUAGUCUCGCUCUCUAGCAUGAUCCUCCAUUGUACAAUUGCUGGAGAACGUUGCAUUAACAAGACUAGGAAUGGCAGAUGUCAUUACUAGGUCCUUUUAAUAUAAUAAAGGCUCAUGCACGAGACCAUACGCCCUCCGAGACAUGCGGUUUGUCAGCCAACAAUGUGACCUGUUGCUUUAAUUUUCAUGGGCACAAUGAUUCUGUGCAUGUUGUGCCACCCACAUGGCUAUAGUCAAGCACUUAUACGAUAAUAUUAGUGAGGAACAAUAGCCCCGCGGUUGGAAAGACGUGCAUAGAAUCAUUGAAAUCUAUGACGCUGUGCACUACCGUUUGCACCUUCUAUGCCGCCACGGAACAUAUGGCCCACUCUAGGAACACAUGUCUCGCAGUGCAUACUGUAGUGUGAUGAUUCUGAACUCGGUAUGAUGAAGCUACCACAUAGCAGGAGCAAUCAUGGUAAUGGUGUGCACUCACAUCAUGUAGAAAGGAGGAUCACAGUCACAGAG